rnacentral:rRNA from 2 species
GAUUGAACGCUGGCGGCAGGCCUAACACAUGCAAGUCGAACGGUAACAGGAAGCAGCUUGCUGCUUCGCUGACGAGUGGCGGACGGGUGAGUAAUGUCUGGGAAACUGCCUGAUGGAGGGGGAUAACUACUGGAAACGGUGGCUAAUACCGCAUAACGUCGCAAGACCAAAGAGGGGGACCUUCGGGCCUCUUGCCAUCAGAUGUGCCCAGAUGGGAUUAGCUAGUUGGUGAGGUAACGGCUCACCAAGGCGACGAUCCCUAGCUGGUCUGAGAGGAUGACCAGCCACACUGGAACUGAGACACGGUCCAGACUCCUACGGGAGGCAGCAGUGGGGAAUAUUGCACAAUGGGCGCAAGCCUGAUGCAGCCAUGCCGCGUGUAUGAAGAAGGCCUUCGGGUUGUAAAGUACUUUCAGCGGGGAGGAAGGUGUUGUGGUUAAUAACCRCAGCAAUUGACGUUACCCGCAGAAGAAGCACCGGCUAACUCC